rnacentral:rRNA from 1 species
UACGGAGGAUGCGAGCGUUAUCCGGAUUUAUUGGGUUUAAAGGGUGCGUAGGCGGACUGUCAAGUCAGCGGUAAAAUUGAGAGGCUCAACCUCUUCCCGCCGUUGAAACUGGUGGUCUUGAGUGGAUGAGAAGUACGCGGAAUGCGUGGUGUAGCGGUGAAAUGCAUAGAUAUCACGCUGAACUCCGAUUGCGAAGGCAGCGUACCGGCAUCCAACUGACGCUGAGGCACGAAAGCGUGGGGAUCAAACAGG